rnacentral:rRNA from 1 species
UACGUAGGGGGCAAGCGUUGUUCGGAAUUACUGGGCGUAAAGCGCACGUAGGCGGCUUUGUAAGUUAGAGGUGAAAGCCCGGGGCUCAACCCCGGAACUGCCUUUAAGACUGCAUCGCUUGAAUCCAGGAGAGGUGAGUGGAAUUCCGAGUGUAGAGGUGAAAUUCGUAGAUAUUCGGAAGAACACCAGUGGCGAAGGCGGCUCACUGGACUGGUAUUGACGCUGAAGAGCGAAAGCGUGGGGAGCAAACAGG